rnacentral:rRNA from 1 species
AUGGACAGACGGCUCCUGGAAGCAGCCACAUCUGGUGAUUCCAAAUCAAUGAAAGACAUGGCUUCGCAGGAUGCAAGCAUUCUACUUAGAACAACUCCACAAGGGAGCACCUGCCUUCACAUAUCUUCCACUCAUGGUCAUGAGGGAUUCUGCCAGGAUGUGUUGGUGCUAAACCAGACUCUCCUCACCAAGGUGAACUCUGACAGGGAGACACCACUUAUAGCGGCGGUGAUGGGUGGACAUGCCUCAUUGGCUUCUGUGUUGCUCGGGCGUUGUUGUAUGCUAGGAUUGAGUGAGGUAAUUUUGCAAACAGACAACGAUAGAUGUAAUGCACUGCAUCAUGCCAUCAAUUACAACCACAAGGACCUUGCGAUGGAGUUGAUAAUAGCAAAGCCUUCUCUGUCACAUGGUGUGAACAAAUACGGCGAGUCACCCAUGUUCAUGGCGGCAAUGAGGGACUUUACUGAUAUUGUUGAAAAGCUUUUGGAUACUCAUGAUUCGGCUCAUGAAGGAACGUAUGGUCACAAUGCCUUGCAUGCUGCUGCCAGAAAUGGAAAUGCAGUUAUUGCUAAAACAAUUAUGGCGACACGGCCUUUGCUGGCCACAGAAAAAAGCAAUGAUUCGAAGACUCCAGUGCAUAUCGCUGUGAUAAUGGACAAGAUUGAAGUGCUACGAAUAUUUUUGGAACAUGAUUGGUCCUUAGGACAUGUGACACACAAAGAGGAGUAUGUGAGUUCUCUCCUUUUUACUGCCGCGUGCCGGGGUAAUGUUGGUAUUGCUCGAGAGCUUCUCAAGCACUGUCCCGAUGCUCCCUAUCGCCUGGAAUCUGGUAAGACAUGUCUGCAUGUGGCUGUAGAGGGAGGUCACACGGAGUUUGUUCAAUUUCUUUUGAAGGAACCACAACUUCAGAAAUUGGUGAACAUGCGAGACGGAAAUGGUAAAACUGCUCUGCAUCACGCAGUCAAUAGGUGCAAUCCAAAAAUUGUUGCGGCUUUACUCUCUCGCAAAGAGACAAACUUCACAAUAUAUGACAACCAUGGGGAGUCAGUAAUUUGGCAACUACGGAAUGCCACAGAUCAUGCCAAGACCUUAAACUGGAAUGAAGUGGCAAUGCUUAUAUCCAAUGUGCUCCUCGCUUGCUGUUGCUUUCGUGUGCAUCAUUGCAAAGUGGGAGGAUACGGAGUUCCUGAUUUAUUAUCAAUCAUUUACUAA